rnacentral:lncRNA from 1 species
AAAAAUGAAAAAUCGUGUAGAUCAAGUAAAGGGCAGCUGAGAAUGUUGGUAACAUAGACCAAAUUACUAAGGCUACAAUCACAUGUUUUGGACUAGUAAAUAUAUAUUGUUUUAGUAGUUUAAUGGGAUUAUAUAUGAACACUUUUAGGGUUGGUGGGUACUGAAAAAGGUUUAAUUUUCUUAAAAAGUUUCAAAUGUUUUGGCGUGUGAAUUAUGGCACUGGCUUGUAAUUGCCUACUCAUAGUAAUAUAGUCUACUUGCCUUGGUUUGUACUUAGUAGCACAAGUAAAC